GAGCUCGUGGUGUAACUGGAAACACACAGCUUCGCAAAUCGAAGGUCGUGGAAACACUCCUUCAUAGUCGGAAGGAGAUCUUGGUUCGAAUCCAAGCCUGCUCA
rnacentral:tRNA from 1 species